GGGAAUGUAGCUCAAUUGGGAGAGCACUGUGCUGAAGACACAGCCGUUGCAGGUUCGAAUCCUGCUGUUUCCA
rnacentral:tRNA from 1 species